rnacentral:rRNA from 1 species
GACGAACGCUGGCGGCGUGCUUAACACAUGCAAGUCGAACGGAAAGGCCCUGCUUUUGUGGGGUGCUCGAGUGGCGAACGGGUGAGUAACACGUGAGUAACCUGCCCUUGACUUUGGGAUAACUUCAGGAAACUGGGGCUAAUACCGGAUAGGAGCUCCUGCUGCAUGGUGGGGGUGGGAAAGUUUCGGCGGUUGGGGAUGGACUCGCGGCUUAUCAGCUUGUUGGUGGGGUAGUGGCUUACCAAGGCUUUGGCGGGUAGCCGGCCUGAGAGGGUGACCGGCCCCAUUGGGACUGAGAUACGGCCCAGCCUCCUCCGGGAGGCAGCGGUGGGGAAUAUUGCACAAUGGGCGGAAGCCUGAUGCAGCAACGCCGCGUGCGGGAUGACGGCCUUCGGGUUGUAAACCGCUUUCGCCUGUGACGAAGCGUGAGUGACGGUAAUGGGUAAAGAAGCACCGGCUAACUACGUG